rnacentral:tRNA from 1 species
GGGGAGUUUCCCGAGUGGUCAAAGGGGGCAGACUGUAAAUCUGUUGGCUCAGCCUUCGAAAGUUCAAAUCUUUCACUCCCCA